GAGAUGGCGACCGGCGCACGGGUGCGUAACGCGUAUGCAACCUACCUAUCACAUGGGGAUAGCCUCUAGAAAUGGAGAUUAAUACCCAAUGGCAUCUACAUAUUGCAUGAUAUUAAGAUUAAAGAUUUAUCGGUGAUAGAUGGGCAUGCGUGACAUUAGCUAGUUGGUAAGGUAACGGCUUACCAAGGCGACGAUGUCUAGGGGAUCUGAGAGGACUACCCCCCACACUGGUACUGAGACACGGACCAGACUCCUACGGGAGGCAGCAGUGAGGAAUAUUGGUCAAUGGAGGCAACUCUGAACCAGCCAUGCCGCGUGCAGGAUGACUGCCCUAUGGGUUGUAAACUGCUUUUAUAUAGGAAGAAAAGUAUCUACGUGUAGAUAUCUGACGGUACUAUAAGAAUAAGGACCGGCUAACUCCGUGCCAGCAGCCGCGGUAAUACGGAGGGUCCAAGCGUUAUCCGGAUUUAUUGGGUUUAAAGGGUCCGUAGGCGGGCUUAUAAGUCAGAGGUGAAAUCCCAUCGCUCAACGAUGGAACUGCCUUUGAUACUGUAGGUCUUGAAUGUAUUUGAAGUAGGCGGAAUAUGUAGUGUAGCGGUGAAAUGCAUAGAUAUUACAUAGAACACCAAUUGCGAAGGCAGCUUACUAAGAUAUAAUUGACGCUGAUGGACGAAAGCGUGGGUAGCGAACGGGAUUAGAUACCCC
rnacentral:rRNA from 1 species